rnacentral:lncRNA from 10 species
CUCAAGCCAUCUGAAAACAAAGCCGGUCUUUCAACAAUUUGUCUUUCAAAUAUGUGUCUCUUAAGAUGUGGUCCAGAUAACCUGCUCAGUAUCCCUGGAGGGAUUGUAGACCUGUAUGCUCCUGGGUCUGACCCAGACGGGGAGGCUUAGAAUUCCUGUGUUUGUAUUGAGUGGUCCAAGUGAUGCGUUUGCACAUUUAAGUCCCAUGCACCAGGAAGGAGAGCUGGAGGCCCAGAGAGGGGAAGCUGUGCAGGAGAGAAUCAGAAUGAGCUGGGCCCUGGAUUGAGUACCCUGACACUCAGCACUGGACUCACUACAAGAGGGAGAAGCCAGGGGGAAAGAAGGCUACCCUUGUACUCCUUACUGUACUUCCCCAGGAGCCAGAAGAAUGUAGGGACCACAUCUUGGACCCGGAGGUCUGAGCCCAGCAGUGGUGGAGAGUCCCCAGCUGGGAGACCCUCAGUUGGAUGGGAAACUAGGGAUGGCAGGAGAGUCUGGGGGACUCUCUGGCAGGAGAACCAGGAGGUAAGAGUCUCUGGAGACAGUUGCUCUAGGGCCACCUCGAUGGGGUCUCUGUCUGGGCCCCUCCCCACAGUUUGAGUCAGAGAUGGCUCUCAGCAUGGCAGGAGGCUUGCUCCUCUCCCCGUGGGUGGACUGCAGUUCCCACAACCCUGUCAGGCAGCUGCAGAGCUCCAGGUUUCUCUGCCCACAAGGGCAGGGGCUGCCCCUCGCCCAGGAUGACUCUGCCUUCCAGAGCCUUGGCCUCCCUGGGGGUGGGAGUGUGGGGGAUGCUAAGGUUAAAUCAGGUCACAGUAAGUUGUGGGGGCAGCAGGUGGAGCAGCAGAGUGGCACUGGGAGCUUUCUCUUGGGUGUGCGGUGUGGCCUUGGUUCUGCAGCCAUCAGGUGGGGGCUUGGGACUGACUUCUCCUUCUGAAGGAUGCUGGGAAGGUGAGCUGGCUUUGGCAGUGCUUAGAGCUCCGGGGGGUUCCCCCUCCUAGAACAUGCAAGCUCUCACACCGGUGCGUCAUCAUCACACCCAUCAUCAAGCCCACAGUGGUAUACUGAACACCUGCCCCACAAAGACGGUGGAAUGCUCUCAGAGGAGCCCCAUGAACCACCGAUGGUUACAACUAUCCAAUGCCUGAUGGCAGACAGCCAGGCCAACCUCGGCUUCCACUCUCUCUUCCUCACCCUACAAUCAGCCAAAGUGACCUGAGUCGUGUAGUGCGAAGUUGCUUUCUGCUUUCUCUUGUUUGUGCUUUUGCUGUUUCUUCUGCCCCAUACUUUGUUAACUCCAUGAGUUAAAUGCUACCCAUUUUCCCAGACAAGUGCUGCUUCUGCAAGGAAACCCUUCCUGAUCCCCCACCUGUCUGAAAAGUACCUCUCCAGCUUGCUUCUUCAGGGUGCUGAGCGUUCCUUCCCAGCCUGUCAUCACCUUCCUCCAUACGCUAUGGUGUGUUCCUGUCUUCUCUAGUCUUGUCCUCUUUUUUCUGUUAGAUUGUAGCUCCUUGCUGACAGGAACCACGCCUGCUCCAGCUUCAUACCUCCCACUGCUACAGCACAGAACCUGCUUCUCAGACUUACAGC